rnacentral:rRNA from 1 species
GACGAACGCUGGCGGCGUGCUUAAUACAUGCAAGUCGAACGGAAAGGCCCUGCUUCUGUGGGGUGCUCGAGUGGCGAACGGGUGAGUAACACGUGAGUAACCUGCCUUUGACUUUGGGAUAACUUCAGGAAACUGGGGCUAACACCGGAUAGGAGCUCCUGCUGCAUGGUGGGGGUUGGAAAGUUUCGGCGGUUGGGGAUGGACAGGCGGUUUAUCGGCUUGUUGGUGGGGAAGUGGCAUACCAAGGGAUUGACGGGUAGCCGGCCUGGGAGGGUGGCCGGCCACAUUGGUACUGAGGGACGGCGCAGACGCGUAUGGGAGGCAACGGUGGAGAGUAUUACAGAGUGAGCGGGAGCGUGAUGCGGAGGCGCCGCGUGCGGGAUGACGGCCUUCGGGUUGUGAACCGCUUUCGCCUGUGACGAAGCGGGAGUGACGGUAAUGAGUAAAGAAGCACCGGCUAACUACGUG